rnacentral:rRNA from 1 species
UACGAAGGGGGCUAGCGUUGUUCGGAAUCACUGGGCUUAAAGCGUGUGUAGGCGGAUCGUUAAGUGCCUUGUGAAAUCCCACGGCUCAACCGUGGAACUGCUUGGCAUACUGGCGGUCUUGAGCAACCUAGGGGCGAGCGGAACAAAUGGUGGAGCGGUGAAAUGCGUAGAUAUCAUUUGGAACGCCAAUGGUGAAAACAGCUCGCUGGGGGUUUGCUGACGCUGAGACACGAAAGCCAGGGGAGCAAACGGG